AUUGAACGCUGGCGGCAUGCUUUACACAUGCAAGUCGAACGGUAACAGGCCGCAAGGUGCUGACGAGUGGCGAACGGGUGAGUAAUGCAUCGGAACGUUCCCAGUCGUGGGGGAUAACGCCGCGAAAGCUGCGCUAAUACCGCAUACGAUCUUUGGAUGACAGCGGGGGACCGUAAGGCCCCGCGCGAUUGGAGCCGCCGAUGUCCGAUUAGCUAGUUGGUGAGGUAAUGGCUCACCAAGGCGAUGAUGGAUAGCCGGCCUGAGAGGGCGAACGGCCACAUUGGAACUUAGACACGGUCCAAACUCCUACGGGAGGCAGCAGUGAGGAAUAUUGCACAACGGGCGAAAGCCUGAUGCAGCGACGCCGCGUGGAGGAUGACGGUUUUCGGAUUGUAAACUCCUGUUAAGUGUGAAAAAAGACUUGCUUUUAAUAGAAGCGAGGGAUGAUUGUAACACUAGAGAAAGCACCGGCUAACUUCGUGCCAGCCGCCGCGGUAACAC
rnacentral:rRNA from 1 species